GAUGAACGCUGGCGGCGUGCUUAACACAUGCAAGUCGAACGGAAAGGCUCCUGCUUGCAGGGGUACUCGAGUGGCGAACGGGUGUGUAACACGUGGGUUAUCCGCCCCGCACUUCGGGAUAAGCCUGGGAAACUGGGUCUAAUACCGGAUAGGACGAUGUUUUGGAUGUCAUUGUGGAGAGUUUUUCGGUGUGGGAUGGGCUGGCGGCUUAUCAGCUUGUUGGUGGGUUAUUGGCCUACCAGGGGGUCGCGGGUUAGCCGGCCUGAGAGGGUGUACGGCCACAUUGGGACUGAGAUACGGCCCAGACCCCUACGGGAGGCAGCGGGGGGGAAUAUUGCACAAUGGGGGCAAGCCUGUUGCGGCGACGCGGCGUGGGGGAUGACGGCCUUCGGGUUGUAAACUCCUUUCGCUAGGGACGAAGCGCUAGUGACGGUACCUGGAGAAGAAGCACCGGCUAACUACGUG
rnacentral:rRNA from 1 species